UAACUGGCGGCGUGCCUAUACUGCAAGUCGAACGCACAGCGAAAGGUGCUUGCACCUUUCAAGUGAGUGGCGAACGGGUGAGUAACACGUGGACAACCUGCCUCAAGGCUGGGGAUAACAUUUGGAAACAGAUGCUAAUACCGAAUAAAACUUAGUGUCGCAUGACACAAAGUUAAAAGGCGCUUCGGCGUCACCUAGAGAUGGAUCCGCGGUGCAUUAGUUAGUUGGUGGGGUAAAGGCCUACCAAGACAAUGAUGCAUAGCCGAGUUGAGAGACUGAUCGGCCACAUUGGGACUGAGACACGGCCCAAACUCCUACGGGAGGCUGCAGUAGGGAAUCUUCCACAAUGGGCGAAAGCCUGAUGGAGCAACGCCGCGUGUGUGAUGAAGGCUUUCGGGUCGUAAAGCACUGUUGUAUGGGAAGAACAGCUAGAAUAGGAAAUGAUUUUAGUUUGACGGUACCAUACCAGAAAGGGACGGCUAAAUACGUGCCAGCAGCCGCGGUAAUACGUAUGUCCCGAGCGUUAUCCGGAUUUAUUGGGCGUAAAGCGAGCGCAGACGGUUUAUUAAGUCUGAUGUGAAAGCCCGGAGCUCAACUCCGGAAUGGCAUUGGAAACUGGUUAACUUGAGUGCAGUAAAGGUAAGUGGAACUCCAUGUGUAGCGGUGGAAUGCGUAAAUAUAUGGAAAAACACCAGUGGCGAAGGCGGCUUACUGGACUGCAACUGACGUUGAGGCUCGAAAGUGGGGGUAGCAAACAGGAUUAAAUACCCUGGUAGUCCCCCCCGUAAACGAUGAANC
rnacentral:rRNA from 1 species